rnacentral:rRNA from 1 species
ACAAGGUCUGCCGUUGGUAGAACCAGCGGAGGGAUGCAUUA